rnacentral:rRNA from 1 species
GAUGAACGCUAGCGGCAGGCUUAACACAUGCAAGUCGAGGGGUAUUGGUUUUCGGACCAAGAGACCGGCGCACGGGUGCGUAACGCGUAUGCAAUCUACCUUUUGCAGAGGGAUAGCCCCAGAGAAAUUUGGAUUAAUACCUCAUAGUAUAGUACUUUGGCAUCAAGGAACUAUUAAAGUCACAACGGCAAAAGAUGAGCAUGCGUCCAUUAGCUAGUUGGUAAGGUAACGGCUUUACCAAGGCUACGAUGGGUAGGGUUCUGAGAGGGAGA